rnacentral:rRNA from 1 species
GAUGAACGCUAGCUACAGGCUUAACACAUGCAAGUCGAGGGGAAACGAUAUUGGAAGCUUGCUUCCGAUAGGCGUCGACCGGCGCACGGGUGAGUAACGCGCAUCCAACCUGCCCACCACUUGGGGAUAACCUUGCGAAAGUAAGACUAAUACCCAAUGAUAUCUCUAGAAGACAUCUGAAAGAGAUUAAAGAUUUAUCGGUGAUGGAUGGGGAUGCGUCUGAUUAGCUUGUUGGCGGGGUAAACGGCCCACCAAGGCGACGAUCAGUAGGGGUUCUGAGAGGAAGGUCCCCACAUUGGAACUGAGACAACGGUCCAAAACUCCUACGGGAGGGCAGCAGUGA